UUGACCUCGGAUUAGGUAGGAAUACCCGCUGAACUUAA
rnacentral:rRNA from 6 species